rnacentral:rRNA from 1 species
GAUGAACGCUGGCGGCGUGCCUAAUACAUGCAAGUCGAACGAAACUUCUUUAUCACCGAGUGCUUGCACUCACCGAUAAAGAGUUGAGUGGCGAACGGGUGAGUAACACGUGGGCAACCUGCCCAAAAGAGGGGGAUAACACUUGGAAACAGGUGCUAAUACCGCAUAACCAUAGUUACCGCAUGGUAACUAUGUAAAAGGUGGCUAUACUACCGCUUUUGGAUGGGUCCGCGGCGGAUUAGCUAGUUGGUAGGGUAAAGGCUUACCAAGGCAAUGAUGCGUAGCCGGAUUGAGAGGUUGAUCGGCCACACUGGGACUGAGACACGGCCCAGACUCCUACGGGAGGCAGCAGUAGGGAAUCUUCCACAAUGGGCGAAAGCCUGAUGGAGCAACGCCGCGUGGGUGAAGAAGGUCUUCGGAUCGUAAAACCCUGUUGUUAGAGAAGAAAGUGCGUGAGAGUAACUGUUCACGUUUCGACGGUAUCUAACCAGAAAGCCACUGCUAACUACGUG